rnacentral:rRNA from 1 species
CCAGAGAACUUAGCAGAGAUGCUUUGGUGCCUUCGGGAACUCUGAGACAGGUGCUGCAUGGCUGUCGUCAGCUCGUGUUGUGAAAUGUUGGGUUAAGUCCCGCAACGAGCGCAACCCUUAUCCUUUGUUGCCAGCGGCUCGGCCGGGAACUCAAAGGAGACUGCCGGUGAUAAACCGGAGGAAGGUGGGGAUGACGUCAAGUCAUCAUGGCCCUUACGGCCAGGGCUACACACGUGCUACAAUGGCGCAUACAAAGAGAAGCGACCUCGCGAGAGCAAGCGGACCUCAUAAAGUGCGUCGUAGUCCGGAUUGGAGUCUGCAACUCGACUCCAUGAAGUCGGAAUCGCUAGUAAUCGUAGAUCAGAAUGCUACGGUGAAUACGUUCCCGGGCCUUGUACACACCGCCCGUCACACCAUGGGAGUAGGUUGCAAAAGAAGUAGGUAGCUUAACCUUCGGGAGGGCGCUUACCACUUUGUGAUUCAUGACUGGGGUGAAGUCGUAACAAGGUAGGCGUAGCGAG